AUGGGAACGCGAAGAACCUUACCUACUCUUGACAUCCAGAGAACUUUCCAGAGAUGGAUUGGUGCCUUCGGGAACUCUGAGACAGGUGCUGCAUGGCUGUCGUCAGCUCGUGUUGUGAAAUGUUGGGUUAAGUCCCGCAACGAGCGCAACCCGUUAUCCUUUGUUGCCAGCGGUCCGGCCGGGAACUCAAAGGAGACUGCCAGUGACAAACUGGAGGAAGGUGGGGAUGACGUCAAGUCAUCAUGGCCCUUACGAGUAGGGCUACACACGUGCUACAAUGGCGCAUACAAAGAGAAGCGACCUCGCGAGAGCAAGCGGACCUCAUAAAGUGCGUCGUAGUCCGGAUUGGAGUCCGCAACUCGACUCCAUGAAGUCGGAAUCGCUAGUAAUCGUAGAUCAGAAUGCUACGGUGAAUACGUUCCCGGGUCUUGUACACACCGAGUCGUGGGA
rnacentral:rRNA from 1 species